AGGACGAACGCUGGCGGCGUGCUUAACACAUGCAAGUCGAGCGAGGCCCUUCCUUCGGGAAGGUGUCCUAGCGGCGAACGGGUGAGUAACACGUGGGCAACCUGCCCUUAGCUCUGGGAUAGCUCCGGGAAACCGGAAUUAAUACCGGAUAUGACCUAGGCCGACAUCGGCCGUGGUGGAAAGUUUUUCGGCUAGGGAUGGACUCGCGGCCUAUCAGCUAGUUGGUGGGGUAAUGGCCUACCAAGGCGACGACGGGUAGCCGGCCUGAGAGGGCGACCGGCCACACUGGGACUGAGACACGGCCCAGACUCCUACGGGAGGCAGCAGUGGGGAAUCUUGCGCAAUGGGCGAAAGCCUGACGCAGCGACGCCGCGUGGGGGAUGAAGGCCUUCGGGUUGUAAACCCCUUCAGCAGGGACGAAGCGAAAGUGACGGUACCUGCAGAAGAAGCGCCGGCUAACUACGCGCCAGCAGCCGC
rnacentral:rRNA from 1 species